UACGGAGGGUGCGAGCGUUAAUCGGAUUUACUGGGCGUAAAGCGCGCGUAGGUGGUUUGGCAAGUUGGAUGUGAAAGCCCUGGGCUUAACCUAGGAAUUGCAUCCAAAACUUCCAGGCUAGAGUGCAGCAGAGGAUGGUGGAAUUCCCGGUGUAGCGGUGAAAUGCGUAGAUAUCGGGAGGAACAUCAGUGGCGAAGGCGACUGUCUGGGCUGACACUGACACUGAGGUGCGAAAGCGUGGGUAGCAAACAGG
rnacentral:rRNA from 1 species